rnacentral:rRNA from 1 species
UACGUAGGGGGCAAGCGUUGUCCGGAUUUAUUGGGCGUAAAGAGCGUGUAGGCGGCCAGACAGGUCCGUUGUGAAAACUCGAGGCUCAACCUCGAGAUGUCGAUGGAAACCGUCUGGCUAGAGUCCGGAAGAGGAGUGUGGAAUUCCUGGUGUAGCGGUGAAAUGCGCAGAUAUCAGGAGGAACACCGAUGGUGAAGGCAGGUCUCUGGGCCACUACUGACGCUGAGAAGCGAAAGCAUGGGGAGCGAACAGG